GGUUUCGGAAUUGAAAGUAUGAUUAUAAUAUGGUUUUGCAAGUAAAAAACCAAUCUCAUUUGGAUAAAAAAUACGACAUCAGAAGAAUAUGAUUUGAUGUUUAGACAGUGCUUUGACAUCUAGUAGCGAGUAAAAAGAAAAUAAAACGAGAAAAAAUAUUUCUAUUAGGAAGUUAAUUAAGUUGUAGUACACAGUACACAUGACAACUGAAAGUGUUUUAAGUUUUCUUCAGAGAAAAUUUACCUCAAGCACACGUACGUAACAUCAGCUUAUGUGUUAGAUUACUAAACUGAGGGCUACAACAAGAGUAAAGCCAACAUCCCAUGUUCCCAUCUCAUCACGUUGUGUACACAGCGACUAUAGAUUUUUCUUCCUUGUAUAAACAACGACUAUAGAUUUUUCUUCCUUGUAUAAACAACAUGGGGCAUCUAUGUUUUUACCCCUGCUUUGAAGUGUAAUUAUGAUUUUGCCCUUAUUUUUUCAACUUUGUAUAAUUUGUUAUCUUUCUUAAGUGAUCGUCAUUUUAAUUCUAUAGACACUAUGCUCUAUUACUUAGAUAAUGUGCAAUUCUGAAAACACGUUUUAUAUUUAAAAUCAUCUGACCAUGUUUCAUAUUUUAAAAAACCAGGCGCAUGAGUUAUGUGGACCCCUUUUUGCCGGCUCCAAAGCUCUGGCUAAUAAGAAAAGAAAUCCAGCUCCCCUUGAACAAACACAGAAUGACCAGGAGAAGAACAUCUACUUUGGGACUCGUGAAAAAACUUCAAAAGAAAACUUCUUCAAAAGCUUUGGCUGUAGAGCCUAAAACAAGAGCUACGUCAUUGACCGUGGCAAAUAUAAGAGAUUGUGCAAAAUAGCAAUGCCAGGAAAAGAAUUAUCCUUAUUUAACAUCUCCUCAGCUACGACUGAAGCGUCAUCUUCAAUCUCUCAUCUCUCCC
rnacentral:lncRNA from 1 species